GAACCAACGCUUUUGCGCGGGAAAAGGGCAACGAAGCAUCCAUUCUCUCCUGCAGCGAAAGGCCGCCAAAUUUGAUGUGUUCGUUUCGUUCAACACAGUCGUGGAUUGGUUCGCGCCGGAGAAAUGUUCAACUCAAGAUUGAAGCUGUUGCGGUAGAAGAUUUUUCCGGAGAAAGGCUAAACCGGCUGACGCUCUUGUAACUAGUUCAACGCGCUUUUACACUCUCCUAUGGUUGCAGAAAAUCGCAGAAUAAUGGAAAAACCUCCCUAUGGAGAGCUUCUGGUUUAUAAAAUUUGGCUGACUAUUUUGGGGAAAGUUGCCCGUGCUGGAGAAAAAAAGCUUCGCCUUGAUGUUAUCUUGUUCUACUUCAUCACAAAUCUCAAUUAACUUUUGUUCCAAACGAUAUUUUCCGUGUCCUAUGUAACCCUGUUCCUUAUAUUUUCCCUUUUAGUUCAAACUUUUUGCAUCUGCCAAUCAGAUUCUAAAGGAUGUAGAGAUACUCACAACCUUAUUU